rnacentral:piRNA from 1 species
UUAGGCAACUAUUUGAGAA